UGAUGAUAUGUUUUUUCUUGUUUUUGUAAAUGUUGGAAUGUUUUUACUUAAAGAACAAGUUCCAACGACACACUGAUAAUGGCAAAAUUAUUUGACUGGCAGGUAAGACCUUCUUUCAUCCUGAGGUCAUCAUGAAAUAUAGUGAGGUUUAUUCACUAACCUAGGAAUUGCAAAGAAUUGAGUAGAUCAUUGCAUAUUUUAGGCCAAUUAUCAGAAAUAGAAUUAAA